UACAGAGGUCUCAAGCGUUGUUCGGAUUCAUUGGGCGUAAAGGGUGCGUAGGCGGCGCGGUAAGUCGGGUGUGAAAUCUCGGAGCUUAACUCCGAAACUGCAUUCGAUACUGCCGUGCUUGAGGACUGGAGAGGAGACUGGAAUUUACGGUGUAGCAGUGAAAUGCGUAGAGAUCGUAAGGGAAGACCAGUGGCGAAGCGAGUUUCUGGACGGUAACUGACGCUGAGGCACGAAGGCCAGGGGAGCAAACGGG
rnacentral:rRNA from 1 species